rnacentral:snRNA from 2 species
ACCUUUUCUCGGCCUUUUUGGCUAAGAUCAAGUGUAGUAUCUGUUCUUUAUCAGUUUUAAUAUCUGAUAUGUGGGUCAUCGAUUCUACACGAUAUUAACUUAAUUUUUUAAGGGGGAAGGUCCAUUAAAGUAGCUUGCUACUUGGACUUUCAUGCGUCGCUUGGCGUUGCACUAAAGCCUAGGCCUGGCACACCCUAC